rnacentral:rRNA from 2 species
UGGAUCAGAACGAGGGCUGGCGGCAAACAUAACACAUUCAAGUCGAGCGCCCCGCAAGGGGAGCGGCAGACGGGAGAGUAACACGUGGGAAUGUGCCUUUCGGUUCGGAACAACCCAGGGAAACUUGGGCUAAUACCGGAUACGCCCUUACGGGGAAAGAUUUAUCGCCGAAGGAUCGGCCCGCGUCUGAUUAGCUAGUUGGUGGGGUAAUGGCCCACCAAGGCGGGGAAAAGUAGCUGGUCUGAGAGGAUGAUCAGCCUCACUGGGAUUGUUCUCACGGCCCAUGAUCCUACGGGAGGCAUAUCGGGGA